rnacentral:rRNA from 1 species
GUCGAGCGAAUUGACAGAGGUGCUUGCACCUCUCGAUUUUAGCGGCGGACGGGUGAGUAACACGUGGGUAACCUACCUAUAAGACUGGGAUAACUUCGGGAAACCGGAGCUAAUACCGGAUAAUAUUUAGCUUCGUAUGAAGCAAUAGUGAAAAACGGUUCUGCUGUCACUUAUAGAUGGACCUGCGGUGUAUUAGCUAGUUGGUGAGGUAACGGCUCACCAAGGCGACGAUACAUAGCCGACCUGAGAGGGUGAUCGGCCACACUGGGACUGAGACACGGCCCAGACUCCUACGGGAGGCAGCAGUAGGGAAUCUUCCGCAAUGGACGAAAGUCUGACGGAGCAACGCCGCGUGAGUGAAGAAGGUUUUCGGAUCGUAAAACUCUGUUGUAAGGGAAGAACAAGUACGUUAGUAACUGAACGUACCUUGACGGUACCUUACCAGAAAGCCACGGCUAACUACGUGCCAGCAGCCGCGGUAAUACGUAGGUGGCAAGCGUUAUCCGGAAUUAUUGGGCGUAAAGCGCGCGUAGGCGGUCUCUUAAGUCUGAUGUGAAAGCCCCCGGCUCAACCGGGGAGGGUCAUUGGAAACUGGGAGACUUGAGUACAGAAGAGGAGAGUGGAAUUCCAUGUGUAGCGGUGAAAUGCGCAGAGAUAUGGAGGAACACCAGUGGCGAAGGCGGCUCUCUGGUCUGUAACUGACGCUGAGGUGCGAAAGCGUGGGGAUCAAACAGGAUUAGAUACCCUGGUAGUCCACGCCGUAAACGAUGAGUGCUAAGUGUUGGGGGGUUUCCGCCCCUCAGUGCUGCAGCUAACGCAUUAAGCACUCCGCCUGGGGAGUACGGUCGCAAGACUGAAACUCAAAGGAAUUGACGG